rnacentral:rRNA from 1 species
GGGUUGUGAGGUUAAGCGACUAAGCGUACACGGUGGAUGCCCUGGCAGUCAGAGGCGAUGAAGGACGUGCUAAUCUGCGAUAAGCGUCGGUAAGGUGAUAUGAACCGUUAUAACCGGCGAUUUCCGAAUGGGGAAACCCAGUGUGUUUCGACACACUAUCAUUAACUGAAUCCAUAGGUUAAUGAGGCGAACCGGGGGAACUGAAACAUCUAAGUACCCCGAGGAAAAGAAAUCAACCGAGAUUCCCCCAGUAGCGGCGAGCGAACGGGGAGCAGCCCAGAGCCUGAAUCAGUGUGUGUGUUAGUGGAAGCGUCUGGAAAGGCGCGCGAUACAGGGUGACAGCCCCGUACACAAAAAUGCACAUACUGUGAGCUCGAUGAGUAGGGCGGGACACGUGGUAUCCUGUCUGAAUAUGGGGGGACCAUCCUCCAAGGCUAAAUACUCCUGACUGACCGAUAGUGAACCAGUACCGUGAGGGAAAGGCGAAAAGAACCCCGGCGAGGGGAGUGAAAAAGAACCUGAAACCGUGUACGUACAAGCAGUGGGAGCACGCUUCGGCGUGUGACUGCGUACCUUUUGUAUAAUGGGUCAGCGACUUAUAUUCUGUAGCAAGGUUAACCGAAUAGGGGAGCCGAAGGGAAACCGAGUCUUAACUGGGCGUUAAGUUGCAGGGUAUAGACCCGAAACCCGGUGAUCUAGCCAUGGGCAGGUUGAAGGUUGGGUAACACUAACUGGAGGACCGAACCGACUAAUGUUGAAAAAUUAGCGGAUGACUUGUGGCUGGGGGUGAAAGGCCAAUCAAACCGGGAGAUAGCUGGUUCUCCCCGAAAGCUAUUUAGGUAGCGCCUCGUGAAUUCAUCUCCGGGGGUAGAGCACUGUUUCGGCAAGGGGGUCAUCCCGACUUACCAACCCGAUGCAAACUGCGAAUACCGGAGAAUGUUAUCACGGGAGACACACGGCGGGUGCUAACGUCCGUCGUGAAGAGGGAAACAACCCAGACCGCCAGCUAAGGUCCCAAAGUCAUGGUUAAGUGGGAAACGAUGUGGGAAGGCCCAGACAGCCAGGAUGUUGGCUUAGAAGCAGCCAUCAUUUAAAGAAAGCGUAAUAGCUCACUGGUCGAGUCGGCCUGCGCGGAAGAUGUAACGGGGCUAAACCAUGCACCGAAGCUGCGGCAGCGACACUAUGUGUUGUUGGGUAGGGGAGCGUUCUGUAAGCCUGUGAAGGUGUGCUGUGAGGCAUGCUGGAGGUAUCAGAAGUGCGAAUGCUGACAUAAGUAACGAUAAAGCGGGUGAAAAGCCCGCUCGCCGGAAGACCAAGGGUUCCUGUCCAACGUUAAUCGGGGCAGGGUGAGUCGACCCCUAAGGCGAGGCCGAAAGGCGUAGUCGAUGGGAAACAGGUUAAUAUUCCUGUACUUGGUGUUACUGCGAAGGGGGGACGGAGAAGGCUAUGUUGGCCGGGCGACGGUUGUCCCGGUUUAAGCGUGUAGGCUGGUUUUCCAGGCAAAUCCGGAAAAUCAAGGCUGAGGCGUGAUGACGAGGCACUACGGUGCUGAAGCAACAAAUGCCCUGCUUCCAGGAAAAGCCUCUAAGCAUCAGGUAACAUUAAAUCGUACCCCAAACCGACACAGGUGGUCAGGUAGAGAAUACCAAGGCGCUUGAGAGAACUCGGGUGAAGGAACUAGGCAAAAUGGUGCCGUAACUUCGGGAGAAGGCACGCUGAUAUGUAGGUGAAGUCCCUCGCGGAUGGAGCUGAAAUCAGUCGAAGAUACCAGCUGGCUGCAACUGUUUAUUAAAAACACAGCACUGUGCAAACACGAAAGUGGACGUAUACGGUGUGACGCCUGCCCGGUGCCGGAAGGUUAAUUGAUGGGGUUAGCGGUAACGCGAAGCUCUUGAUCGAAGCCCCGGUAAACGGCGGCCGUAACUAUAACGGUCCUAAGGUAGCGAAAUUCCUUGUCGGGUAAGUUCCGACCUGCACGAAUGGCGUAAUGAUGGCCAGGCUGUCUCCACCCGAGACUCAGUGAAAUUGAACUCGCUGUGAAGAUGCAGUGUACCCGCGGCAAGACGGAAAGACCCCGUGAACCUUUACUAUAGCUUGACACUGAACAUUGAGCCUUGAUGUGUAGGAUAGGUGGGAGGCUUUGAAGUGUGGACGCCAGUCUGCAUGGAGCCGACCUUGAAAUACCACCCUUUAAUGUUUGAUGUUCUAACGUUGACCCGUAAUCCGGGUUGCGGACAGUGUCUGGUGGGUAGUUUGACUGGGGCGGUCUCCUCCUAAAGAGUAACGGAGGAGCACGAAGGUUGGCUAAUCCUGGUCGGACAUCAGGAGGUUAGUGCAAUGGCAUAAGCCAGCUUGACUGCGAGCGUGACGGCGCGAGCAGGUGCGAAAGCAGGUCAUAGUGAUCCGGUGGUUCUGAAUGGAAGGGCCAUCGCUCAACGGAUAAAAGGUACUCCGGGGAUAACAGGCUGAUACCGCCCAAGAGUUCAUAUCGACGGCGGUGUUUGGCACCUCGAUGUCGGCUCAUCACAUCCUGGGGCUGAAGUAGGUCCCAAGGGUAUGGCUGUUCGCCAUUUAAAGUGGUACGCGAGCUGGGUUUAGAACGUCGUGAGACAGUUCGGUCCCUAUCUGCCGUGGGCGCUGGAGAACUGAGGGGGGCUGCUCCUAGUACGAGAGGACCGGAGUGGACGCAUCACUGGUGUUCGGGUUGUCAUGCCAAUGGCACUGCCCGGUAGCUAAAUGCGGAAGAGAUAAGUGCUGAAAGCAUCUAAGCACGAAACUUGCCCCGAGAUGAGUUCUCCCUGAC